rnacentral:rRNA from 1 species
CUAGGGGGUGCUUCCAUCUGGAAGAAUCUGGAGACAGGUGCUGCAUGGCUGUCGUCAGCUCGUGUCGUGAGAUGUUGGGUUAAGUCCCGCAACGAGCGCAACCCUUGCCUUUAGUUGCCAGCAGUUCGGCUGGGCACUCUAAAGGGACUGCCGGUGUUAAACCGGAGGAAGGUGGGGAUGACGUCAAGUCCUCGUGGCCUUUAUGACCAGGGCUACACACGUACUACAAUGGCCGAUACAAAGGGCAGCGACACUGCGAGGUGAAGCCAAUCCCGUAAAAUCGGUCUCAGUCCGGAUUGGAGUCUGCAACUCGACUCCAUGAAGUUGGAAUCGCUAGUAAUCGUGGAUCAGCAUGCCACGGUGAAUACGUUCCCGGGCCUU